UACGUAGGGUGCAAGCGUUGUCCGGAAUUAUUGGGCGUAAAGAGCUCGUAGGCGGUUUGUCGCGUCUGCCGUGAAAGUCCGGGGCUCAACUCCGGAUCUGCGGUGGGUACGGGCAGACUAGAGUGAUGUAGGGGAGACUGGAAUCCCUGGUGUAGCGGUGAAAUGCGCAGAUAUCAGGAGGAACACCGAUGGCGAAGGCAGGUCUCUGGGCAUUAACUGACGCUGAGGAGCGAAAGCAUGGGGAGCGAACAGG
rnacentral:rRNA from 1 species